AGAGUUUGAUCCUGGCUCAGGAUGAACGCUAGCUACAGGCUUAACACAUGCAAGUCGAGGGGAAACGAUAGAGAAAGCUUGCUUUUUCUAGGCGUCGACCGGCGCACGGGUGAGUAACGCGUAUCCAACCUGCCCACCACUUGGGGAUAACCUUGCGAAAGUAAGACUAAUACCCAAUGAUAUCUCAAGAAGACAUCUGAAUGAGAUUAAAGAUUUAUCGGUGAUGGAUGGGGAUGCGUCUGAUUAGCUUGUUGGCGGGGUAACGGCCCACCAAGGCGACGAUCAGUAGGGGUUCUGAGAGGAAGGUCCCCCACAUUGGAACUGAGACACGGUCCAAACUCCUACGGGAGGCAGCAGUGAGGAAUAUUGGUCAAUGGACGAGAGUCUGAACCAGCCAAGUAGCGUGCAGGAUGACGGCCCUAUGGGUUGUAAACUGCUUUUAUAAGGGAAUAAAGUGAGUCUCGUGAGACUUUUUGCAUGUACCUUAUGAAUAAGGACCGGCUAAUUCCGUGCCAGCAGCCGCGGUAAUACGGAAGGUCCGGGCGUUAUCCGGAUUUAUUGGGUUUAAAGGGAGCGUAGGCCGGAGAUUAAGCGUGUUGUGAAAUGUAGAUGCUCAACAUCUGCACUGCAGCGCGAACUGGUUUCCUUGAGUACGCACAAAGUGGGCGGAAUUCGUGGUGUAGCGGUGAAAUGCUUAGAUAUCACGAAGAACUCCGAUUGCGAAGGCAGCUCACUGGAGCGCAACUGACGCUGAAGCUCGAAAGUGCGGGUAUCGAACAGGAUUAGAUACCCUGGUAGUCCGCACGGUAAACGAUGGAUGCCCGCUGUUGGUCUGAAUAGGUCAGCGGCCAAGCGAAAGCAUUAAGCAUCCCACCUGGGGAGUACGCCGGCAACGGUGA
rnacentral:rRNA from 1 species